CGGGUUGGCCAGGCAAUCGCGUCAGGACGGCUUCGGCCGGACCUGCCGAGGAAAGUCCGGGCUCCGCAGGGCAGGGUGGUGGGUAACGCCCACUCGGGGAAACCCGCAGGCCAGUGCCACAGAGAAGAGACCGCCCGCGUUCAUGCGCAGGUAAGGGUGAAACGGUGGUGUAAGAGACCACCAGUGUCCCGGGUGACCGGGACAGCUAGGUAAACCCCACCCGGAGCAAGGCCAGACAGGAUGUGUUUGAGGGCUGCCCGCCCGAGCAUCCGGGUAGGCCGCUGGAGGGUAUCGGCAACGGUACUCGUAGAUGGAUGAUUGCCGCCCGUCCGCUGGUAACGGCGGACAGGUACAAAACCCGGCUUAUCGGCCAGCCCGUCCC
rnacentral:RNase_P_RNA from 2 species